AGGACUUUUCCAGAGACACAAAGCCCUACAGAGGUAUCAGACAGAGAGGGAACAUCAAUGCUGUUUGUGGGAACAAGAACAGAUUCAAGCCUCCAGGACUUUCAUCAGAACAAUCCAGUCUAAUUUGUGGUUCAUUGGCUUGAAAACUAGACUAGGCAGUAGGGCCCGAUUUCUUUCCACUACAUGGUAAAUGUGAUCUAGACUCCAUUUUUAAAUAAAUGUUGGAGGCUGGCAUAUUUGUUUUGUGGUGUAAAGAUUAAAAAGGCCAUGACCUUGAUAGACAGCCUGUCUUCCAAUACUGGGGAUGAACCUGGUCAUGAACCUCCACCUGUUCUUUGGAUACUGGUGCCAGAUACAUUGAGCAAUUGCCCUUGAACUGAGGAAAUCUACAGAUGAUCCCACAACAUCCCCAUGGACCUUAUGGAACUUGUGAUGUACUGUAGAUUCUGUUGACACAAACUGUGUAAAGGACAUACGAAUGAGAUUUCCUGGACACUGGUAUGGGGAAAAAUGGACUCCACUUGUUGAUUGACCAAUGGUGAUUGGUCACAUAUGUCCAGUGUGACCCAAUUUUUAUUUUGUUAAACUAGGCAAGUCAGUUACGAACAAAUUCUAAUUUACAAUGACGGCCUACCCUGGACGACA